CCUAGGGCUAAACACUGUAGCGCCACUGAGGCAAAAUUGGUCUGGCAGAAACCCUGUAAUGCUUUCAGAACCCCUCACCAACACAUUUUGCUACACUUUGAGACACCAAAAAAUGAGCGGAGGUGUAUUUUGUUUUUUACAUGUUAUGUAUUUACAACUUGUUUGGAGUCUUGUUGUGGUAAAUUCGGUGGGCCAUAUUUUCCAGAAAUUCCAUCACUCUUAGCAGCUGUGAGGACCCUCAUUUCGGACAAGAUCACAGAGAGCUCAAGCAAUGGAGGUGAAAACGAAUAUGAGGCCAGUGUUGCUCUACCAUCACCUCCUCAACCCACAUCUCCCAAACCAACAUCAGUGCCACUAGGGAAUGAUGACUCCACCAGAGUGUCUGCCCAUUGUUGGGAGACUGCAAAAGCACAACCUACAGUGAAAGGAAUGGUCCGCACCCUCCUGCUGGGCCUGUUCAGCAUUGAUGUCCUACUGAAGUCCAACCUGACGGGAGGGGUCAACAAGGUCGAUCCAUCUGCAGAGAGACGCCAGCCUCUGGAACCCAAGAAGCUUACAGCUUUACUCAAUGCAGUUGUUCAGCAACACCCAGGGGCGAAGAUUCCAGACAUACGAACGGUCAUAAACAAAAGGAUCUGUGAGUUAAGACACCAGGAGAAGAAAAAGUCCAUGGACAACUGAAGGACUGGCCAAGGCUAGCCAAUCAGAGUGGGUCUUGAUAAGUUAGCAUGCGGGAUCCAUAACACUGCACUAAAGGAUUGUUGUCCUGUUUUUUCCACUUAGGGAUUGUUCUGUUUUUGUUGCACUGAAGACUGUUGUCCUUUAGGAAAUGUUUUAUUAAUUCUUAUAUAUAUUUUUUUAUAUAUUAAAAAAAAAGUAUUUUUGUUCAUUUAUAGUUGUUGUUGGAUCACAUAAAAAUAUAAUGUUUAAAAAAAAAAAACUAAUUAUGAUAUGGCAUAUAUGGCACAUCCCUACCAGCAAACCAGCUUGCCAUUUGCCGAGCACAUUAUGUGUACAUAAGCUUCAGAUGGAAUCAUGGUGAUAUGCCUUUCAUUCUGUCUGUUCUCAGGUCACUGUCCCUUCAGCUGCUGCUUUUGAAAUAAACCUCAUUCAGUUACUGUGAACUAUAUUGAU
ensembl:lncRNA